rnacentral:misc_RNA from 1 species
GGAAGUAAAAGUCGUAACAUGGUCUCCGUUGGUGAACCAGCGGAGGGAUCAUUACUGAGUUACCGCUCUACAACCCUUUGUGAACAUACCUAACUGUUGCUUCGGCGGGCAGAGGUCCCUCGCGGAUCUCUCCCGGCAACGCCCUCACGGGCGGAGCGCCCGCCGGAGGAUACCAAACUCUAUUUUAACGACGUUUCUUCUGAGUGGCACAAGCAAAUAAUUAAAACUUUUAACAACGGAUCUCUUGGUUCUG